CAGCUGUGUGUUGAUUAUUUUAUUAGUCCUUCUAUUUAAGCUCUGUGUUUCCCUGUCUGUAGUGUCUGCUGUUAAAUGUCAUCUCCCCCUACACUCCGUGUGAUUUCCUCGUAGUGAUGCCUAUGAAUGAUUAAAGACUAUGAUAUAGUAAUUCUCCUGUGCCUCCUCACUCCUGUGAAUCGUGACAGAACUGCAGACCGAUUCAGAAAGUAAAGCGGCGCCUUUUCUCCCCUCCUUUAUUUUCAGUUUUUUGAAAAGUGUUUUGUUUUUUUCGUCUCAAUCCACCGCGCCCAAAUGGAGGAAUGGGCAAAGUUCAUCGCAGUGGCACAGGCGAGCCCAGACCCAGUCGUGUUCGCGAGGGCAUUUGUGCUGCUCGCCCUUCGCCAGCUCGCUCGAGGGGGAAAUCCUUGUGACACUCUUCUGGAUCGGGAUGAAAUUCCAUCAUCCCACAGAGCUCCCAGACACCAUUGACCUCGACUGGAAGGAGACAGUUAUCUGGUGUCUGGAGAGUCUCCGAUCUGGAACCCCUCUGCCGGCAGUUCCCCGAGUCAAGUCAGCCAACUGUUGAUGUGGCAAGGCCGCUGGCCCCAGAGCUCGCUCCAGUGUGGGCUCCGGCCCCAGAGCUCGCUCCAGUGUCGGCUCCGGCCCCAGAGCUCACUCCAGUGUGGGCUCCUCGAAAGCACUUUGGUUUGCCUGCUCCUCCAGAGAACUCUCCAGUGCCAGAACCAUUGUCUGCUGUUAAAUGUCAUCUCCCCCUACACUCCGAGUGAUUUCCUCGUUGUGAUUCCUAUGAAUGAUUGAAGACUGUGAUAUAGUAAUUCUCCUGCACUUUCUCGCUCCUGUGAAUCGUGACAGUAGCAUUUUCUAAUUGUUUGUCUGUGUAAUUUGUUGUACGACAACUUUUAAGUGAUGCCACCUGUUUAUUAAGAGAGGUUUAUGCAUGCCCCACUUACUGUCUGUGCCCAAUGGCUAGUCUUGGGUUUUUCCAAUUAAGCUGAAAUUGGUCUAAAGAGGGCAGGCUUGGCUUCUCCGUAAUAUGUAAUAACACUAGUAGCAGAUUAACUGAAACCUGAACCAUACAGCUUGUCACAUGAGAAUAAAAGCAGACAUAAACACCUGUAAUAAUCACAAUACAGGACAAAUUACCACAAGCUCACUUUCAAGUGACAUUCACACAGAAUGUUUCAUGUUUCAAUGAGAUGUAAAAUGAUCUUAGAAUAAUUUGUGCACGUGAUUGGUUGUUCAAUGUUAUUCAAAGGCUAAAAAAUGUGCCAAGGGAACCUUGUGACAUUCUUUUCAUUGUGACAUUUCGUCUAUGUAGGUGUUUUAUUUCCUACAAAUUUAUACUUUUUGAAUUGCUGUGCAUCAGGUGUAAGAAGUAUUUUGUCAACACCAUAGUGAUAGUUAGCUUUUGCCACCUAUGUUUAUUCAGAAAUCUAUGUAAAAAAAAAAUGCUUAUACCAUUUUAUGCUUAUGCCCUUUUUGGCCACUUUCUUUACAAAACGUCACCUAUAUGAAUAAAACGUCUACUAAAAUGACUAAAGAUCAAAGAUAUAAAGAUUGAGAC
ensembl:lncRNA